AUUGAACGCUGGCGGCAUGCCUUACACAUGCAAGUCGAACGGUAACAGGUUAAGCUGACGAGUGGCGAACGGGUGAGUAAUAUAUCGGAACGUGCCCAGUCGUGGGGGAUAACGUAGCGAAAGCUACGCUAAUACCGCAUACGAUCUACGGAUGAAAGCGGGGGAUCGCAAGACCUCGCGCGAUUGGAGCGGCCGAUAUCAGAUUAGGUUGUUGGUGAGGUAAAAGCUCACCAAGCCUGCGAUCUGUAGCUGGUCUGAGAGGACGACCAGCCACACUGGAACUGAGACACGGUCCAGACUCCUACGGGAGGCAGCAGUGGGGAAUUUUGGACAAUGGACGCAAGUCUGAUCCAGCAAUGCCGCGUGCAGGACGAAGGCCUUCGGGUUGUAAACUGCUUUUGUACGGAACGAAACGGUGAGCUCUAAUACAGUUUGCUAAUGACGGUACCGUAAGAAUAAGCACCGGCUAACUACGUGCCAGCAGCCGCCGCGG
rnacentral:rRNA from 1 species